rnacentral:rRNA from 1 species
UUAAGCGACUAAGCGUACACGGUGGAUGCCCUGGCAGUCAGAGGCGAUGAAGGACGUGCUAAUCUGCGAUAAGCGUCGGUGAGGUGAUAUGAACCGUUAUAACCGGCGAUUUCCGAAUGGGGAAACCCAGUGUGUUUCGACACACUAUCAUUAACUGAAUCCAUAGGUUAAUGAGGCGAACCGGGGGAACUGAAACAUCUAAGUACCCCGAGGAAAAGAAAUCAACCGAGAUUCCCCCAGUAGCGGCGAGCGAACGGGGAGGAGCCCAGAGCCUGAAUCAGUGUGUGUGUUAGUGGAAGCGUCUGGAAAGGCGUGCGAUACAGGGUGACAGCCCCGUACACAAAAAUGCACAUAUUGUGAGCUCGAUGAGUAGGGCGGGACACGUGGUAUCCUGUCUGAAUAUGGGGGGACCAUCCUCCAAGGCUAAAUACUCCUGACUGACCGAUAGUGAACCAGUACCGUGAGGGAAAGGCGAAAAGAACCCCGGCGAGGGGAGUGAAAAAGAACCUGAAACCGUGUACGUACAAGCAGUGGGAGCCUCUUAAUGGGGUGACUGCGUACCUUUUGUAUAAUGGGUCAGCGACUUAUAUUCUGUAGCAAGGUUAACCGAAUAGGGGAGCCGAAGGGAAACCGAGUCUUAACUGGGCGUUAAGUUGCAGGGUAUAGACCCGAAACCCGGUGAUCUAGCCAUGGGCAGGUUGAAGGUUGGGUAACACUAACUGGAGGACCGAACCGACUAAUGUUGAAAAAUUAGCGGAUGACUUGUGGCUGGGGGUGAAAGGCCAAUCAAACCGGGAGAUAGCUGGUUCUCCCCGAAAGCUAUUUAGGUAGCGCCUCGUGAAUUCAUCUCCGGGGGUAGAGCACUGUUUCGGCAAGGGGGUCAUCCCGACUUACCAACCCGAUGCAAACUGCGAAUACCGGAGAAUGUUAUCACGGGAGACACACGGCGGGUGCUAACGUCCGUCGUGAAGAGGGAAACAACCCAGACCGCCAGCUAAGGUCCCAAAGUCAUGGUUAAGUGGGAAACGAUGUGGGAAGGCCCAGACAGCCAGGAUGUUGGCUUAGAAGCAGCCAUCAUUUAAAGAAAGCGUAAUAGCUCACUGGUCGAGUCGGCCUGCGCGGAAGAUGUAACGGGGCUAAACCAUGCACCGAAGCUGCGGCAGCGACACUAUGUGUUGUUGGGUAGGGGAGCGUUCUGUAAGCCUGUGAAGGUGGCCUGUGAGGGUUGCUGGAGGUAUCAGAAGUGCGAAUGCUGACAUAAGUAACGAUAAAGCGGGUGAAAAGCCCGCUCGCCGGAAGACCAAGGGUUCCUGUCCAACGUUAAUCGGGGCAGGGUGAGUCGACCCCUAAGGCGAGGCCGAAAGGCGUAGUCGAUGGGAAACAGGUUAAUAUUCCUGUACUUGGUGUUACUGCGAAGGGGGGACGGAGAAGGCUAUGUUGGCCGGGCGACGGUUGUCCCGGUUUAAGCGUGUAGGCUGGUUUUCCAGGCAAAUCCGGAAAACCAAGGCUGAGGCGUGAUGACGAGGCACUACGGUGCUGAAGCGACAAAUGCCCUGCUUCCAGGAAAAGCCUCUAAGCAUCAGGUAACAUCAAAUCGUACCCCAAACCGACACAGGUGGUCAGGUAGAGAAUACCAAGGCGCUUGAGAGAACUCGGGUGAAGGAACUAGGCAAAAUGGUGCCGUAACUUCGGGAGAAGGCACGCUGAUAUGUAGGUGAAGCGACUUGCUCGUGGAGCUGAAAUCAGUCGAAGAUACCAGCUGGCUGCAACUGUUUAUUAAAAACACAGCACUGUGCAAACACGAAAGUGGACGUAUACGGUGUGACGCUGCCCGGUGCCGGAAGGUUAAUUGAUGGGGUUAGCGGCAACGCGAAGCUCUUGAUCGAAGCCCCGGUAAACGGCGGCCGUAACUAUAACGGUCCUAAGGUAGCGAAAUUCCUUGUCGGGUAAGUUCCGACCUGCACGAAUGGCGUAAUGAUGGCCAGGCUGUCUCCACCCGAGACUCAGUGAAAUUGAACUCGCUGUGAAGAUGCAGUGUACCCGCGGCAAGACGGAAAGACCCCGUGAACCUUUACUAUAGCUUGACACUGAACAUUGAGCCUUGAUGUGUAGGAUAGGUGGGAGGCUUUGAAGUGUGGACGCCAGUCUGCAUGGAGCCGACCUUGAAAUACCACCCUUUAAUGUUUGAUGUUCUAACGUUGGCCCGUAAUCCGGGUUGCGGACAGUGUCUGGUGGGUAGUUUGACUGGGGCGGUCUCCCUCCUAAAGAGUAACGGAGGCGGUCUCCUCCUAAAGAGUAACGGAGGAGCACGAAGGUUGGCUAAUCCUGGUCGGACAUCAGGAGGUUAGUGCAAUGGCAUAAGCCAGCUUGACUGCGAGCGUGACGGCGCGAGCAGGUGCGAAAGCAGGUCAUAGUGAUCCGGUGGUUCUGAAUGGAAGGGCCAUCGCUCAACGGAUAAAAGGUACUCCGGGGAUAACAGGCUGAUACCGCCCAAGAGUUCAUAUCGACGGCGGUGUUUGGCACCUCGAUGUCGGCUCAUCACAUCCUGGGGCUGAAGUAGGUCCCAAGGGUAUGGCUGUUCGCCAUUUAAAGUGGUACGCGAGCUGGGUUUAGAACGUCGUGAGACAGUUCGGUCCCUAUCUGCCGUGGGCGCUGGAGAACUGAGGGGGGCUGCUCCUAGUACGAGAGGACCGGAGUGGACGCAUCACUGGUGUUCGGGUUGUCAUGCCAAUGGCACUGCCCGGUAGCUAAAUGCGGAAGAGAUAAGUGCUGAAAGCAUCUAAGCACGAAACUUGCCCCGAGAUGAGUUCUCCCUGA